GUAUAUUCUUUCGACGAAGAAGUUGAUCAAGAUGUACAGGAGAAGAACAAUGAUGCAAGCGUUGGUAGAUCUUGAUCCUCGCUGUUGAUAUAUCGGACCAAAGCCAUUGUUGAUCAUUCUUCGGUUUAGCAUCGUUUAAAUACCAGUCUGGCCAAGAUGUCGAUUGACUAGCAUAAACAAGUUAUGUGUAGCCCUGGUGAAAUAAGAUUGAUAGUAUAUUUCACUUUAUAAAACUACCUUAUACCAACGGCUAGGGCAUUAAUUAGGUGGGUGGGGCAGGGGCACUGGAGUACAAGAGGGCCAGGCCAUUAAUUCAUAGCAAGAAUAAAGCGAGAUUGGCUGUUUUAAUAAGGUUAUGUAAGCAAAAUGUAAACAAGGAAGAUACCUGURAUGAGGAGAGAGAGAUCAGCAAACAUUGUGAAACAUAUCAUGAGAGGUAGGAAUAUUUAAACAUGGUGCUCAUUGAUUUCCAACCCCCCUCCCCCCAUCAUCAGCCCAUGCAACUUAGUUCUGGCUGUCUUAACCAGAGUUCAAGUUGGACUGCAAGCUUGCUUAAUUAUGUACUGUAGUCUUGUAACUUAUAGACUUUAACUGCUGGGGAUGUUGCAUUCCCUUGAGCGUUAUUUUUUUAUAUUUUGAGAUACAACAUUUUGAGGUACGCAUUUAUCUAGGCUUUGCCAAUAUUGGUAACAGUACAUGUAUUUAUAAUUAAGACUUACAUUUUGAUUCUUCCCAAGAGUAGGGUCUUUUUUGCUGCUGUGUUCUUGAUGUGUGUCCACUGGGAUUCCCUUUACAAUAAUUAAAAACAAAAAUGUGAAUUUCAAACUGUA